rnacentral:lncRNA from 1 species
CGGGGAUUAGGAUGCCGGCCAAAUCGCGGAAUUUGAGGCUGGAAUCCAAGCUCAACAGGACUGCUGUGUGUGAAGCACUCAAGAGGGCCCCUACAACCAACCUGCCAGGAGUCGGCUCCUGAAAACAGGGUCGGAAAAGGUCAGUGCCCAUCAGAAUCGAGCUGUCGGCAAAAAGCUGGAGAGGUUAGGAGCUUUGUCUAUCUCAAGGGUAACAAACUGCUUUGACCCUGAGGGCUCUGAAGACGACUUUCCCUCACCGCAGCUCUCAAGACAACAGGGAUCAGACUCAGAAAGACACUGCCUGUAUAAGGCUCUUGUUUGUCUUGUUUUUAAUUCCUGCCCUCUGCCUCCAGAUCUCAGUCCUCUAUCUGUGAAACGGAAUUCGGCCUUGC